UUUGAUCCCUUGAUUCAGGACGAACGCUGSCGSCSUGCCCUAAUACAUGCAAGUCGAGCGGAACAGAUGGGAGCUUGCUCCMUGAUGUUAGCGGCGGACSGGUGAGUUAWCACGUGGGGUAACCUGCCWGUAAGACUGGGAUAACUCCGGGAAACCCGGGGCUAAUACCGGAUGGUUGUUUGAACCGCAUGGUUCAAACAUAAAAGGUGGCUUCGGGCUACCACUUACAGAUGGACCCGCCGGCGCAUUAGCUAGUUGGUGAGGUAACGGCUCACCAAGGCAACGAUGCGUAGCCGACCUGAGAGGGUGAUCGGCCACACUGAKRACUGAGACACGGCCCAGACUCCUACGGGAGGCAGCAGUAGGGAAUCUUCCGCAAUGGACGAAAGUCUGACGGAGCAACGCCGCGUGAGUGAUGAAGGUUUUCGGAUCGUAAAGCUCUGUUGUUAGGGAAGAACAAGUACCGUUCGAAUAGGGCGGUACCUUGACGGUACCUAACCAGAAAGCCACGGCUAACUACGUGCCAGCAGCCGCGGUAAUACGUAGGUGGCAAGCGUUGUCCGGAAUUAUUGGGCGUAAAGGGCUCGCAGGCGGUUUCUUAAGUCUGAUGUGAAAGCCCCCGGCUCAACCGGGGAGGGUCAUUGGAAACUGGGGAACUUGAGUGCAGAAGAGGAGAGUGGAAUUCCACGUGUAGCGGUGAAAUGCGUAGAGAUGUGGAGGAACACUSAGGGUGGGCGAAGGCGACUCUCUGGUCUGUAACUGACGCUGAGGAGCGAAAGCGUGGGGAGCGAACAGGAUUAGAUACCCUGGUAGUCCACGCCGUAAACGAUGAGUGCUAAGUGUUAGGGGGUUUCCGCCCCUUAGUGCUGCAGCUAACGCAUUAAGCACUCCGCCUGGRGACGUACGGUCGCAAGACUGAAACUCAAAGGAAUUGACGGGGGCCCGCACAAGCGGUGGAGCAUGUGGUUUAAUUCGAAGCAACGCGAAGAACCUUACCAGGUCUUGACAUCCUCUGACAAUCCUAGAGAUAGGACGUCCCCUUCGGGGGCAGAGUGACAGGUGGUGCAUGGUUGUCGUCAGCUCGUGUCGUGAGAUGUUGGGUUAAGUCCCGCAACGAGCGCAACCCUUGAUCUUAGUUGCCAGCAUUCAGUUGGGCACUCUAAGGUGACUGCCGGUGACAAACCGGAUGGAAGGUGGGGAUGACGUGGGAUCAU
rnacentral:rRNA from 1 species